rnacentral:rRNA from 2 species
GGGGAAUAUUGCACAAUGGGCGCAAGCCUGAUGCAGCGACGCCGCGUGAGCGAAGAAGGUUUUCGGAUCGUAAAGCUCUGUCCUUUGGGAAGAAAAAAAUGACGGUACCAAAGGAGGAAGCCCCGGCUAACUACGUGCCAGCAGCCGCGGUAAUACGUAGGGGGCUAGCGUUGUCCGGAUUUACUGGGCGUAAAGGGUGAGUAGGCGGUAAUGUAAGUCAGAUGUGAAAUCCCAGGGCUUAACUCUGGAGCUGCAUCUGAAACUAUGUUUCUUGAGUGUCGGAGAGGAAAGCGGAAUUCCUAGUGUAGCGGUGAAAUGCGUAGAUAUUAGGAGGAACACCAGUGGCGAAGGCGGCUUUCUGGACGAUAACUGACGCUGAGGCGCGAAAGCGUGGGGAGCAAACA